UACGUAGGGUGCAAGCGUUGUCCGGAAUUAUUGGGCGUAAAGAGCUCGUAGGCGGUUUGUUGCGUCGGCUGUGAAAUCCCGAGGCUCAACCUCGGGUCUGCAGUCGAUACGAGCAAACUAGAGUGUUGCAGGGGAGACUGGAAUUCCUGGUGUAGCGGUGAAAUGCGCAGAUAUCAGGAGGAACACCGGUGGUGUAGACGGCUCUCUGGACCGUAACUGACGCUGAGACACGAAAAGCGUGGGUAGCAAACAGG
rnacentral:rRNA from 1 species